CGACCUCAGAUCAGACGAGAUUACCCGCUAAAUUUAAGCAUAUCAAUAAGCGGUGGAAAAGAAACGAAAACGAAUUCUCCAAGUAGCGGCGAGCGAAACGAGAAAAGUCCAUACACCGAAGUCGGCGAGCAGUUGUGUUCGUCAACAGUGUGGUGUUAAAGGUGUCGUUGCAUGUGCUGAAAUCAGUUCGUAGGCUCCCUUGAUUGGGGCUUCAGAGCGGGUGCAGGACCCAUAACGAACGAUGUUUUGUGCAUGGUGUCGCGGCUCCUAAUCGAGUCGGGUUGCUUGAGACUGCAGCCCAAAGCGGGUGGUAAAUCUCACCCAAGACUAAAUAUUCGUACGAGACCGAUAGCGAACAAGUACCGCGAGGGAAAGUUGAAAAGAACUCUGAAGAGAGAGUUCAACAGGACGUGAAACCGUUGACAGGCAAACGGAUGGAGCUGACGGUGCAAUUUUGACCAAAAUCAGUCGUCGCUGGGUUCGUUG
rnacentral:ncRNA from 1 species